GCGCAAACUCGAUCACUAACUCUGCAUGAUGUUGCAGCAGUGAAGGGAACCAGGUUUGCUAAAGUAAUUGUGGUGAUAGAAAUGUAUUAGCCUCAGAAGCAACUGAGGUGGUUCAUUCUAUCCUAGCACAGUG
rnacentral:snoRNA from 1 species